UUGACUUUAAAAAGAUAUGGGACGACAAACUGAUUAAAGUAGCUGCAAGGUAGUAACCAACCAAUUCGUAAAAUUGUUGAACGCAUCAUCUACAAGUUAUAAUUGGCAAAUGCUAACCAAAUGGAGGCUCAAACUGAUUAUUUAGUGAUUAAAUUUUGUACUUCUAUAUCAAUAAGAUUGCGGUAGAUGGCAAUUAGACCUAAAAAUCUAUUGUGAAUAAAUCAAGUAUAUAUUCUUCACCAAAAAGAAAUGCAUAAAAAUUCAAUACACAAUUGUUAAAAAAAAAAUCCAAUUGUUGCCUGGCACACCCAUUCCCUUCCUCUUCUUUCCGUGUUAAGGUCCACAUGCUUUUCUUUAAGACCACAUAUACAUUUGACCACCAUUUGAAACCAAAAAGAAAUUUCAUACAAAGCUAUAAAAAAGAGAAAAAAACCAUGUAAAGCCGACAUCUUCCUAUUAAACAAACAAUUACAAAAGGUAUAAAAUAUACUUACAAUACUUUGGACCAUUCCCCCCCACUGCGCACCUCCAAAGGCAUCUUCAACUCUCAAAACUUUUUGUAAUCUCAAUGAUUUUGUCGAAUCCACCGUCAACAAACUAUGAAGUCAAUUUCCCCCAAGUUUCAGUGAACACCCACCUUGCAAAUCGUGUGUAAACCCUAGAUUUCUAAACAGCGAUUGUGCAAAGGGUAUAUUGUGUGAAAGUCUUGCUAAAUGACUUUUUCUAACCUUAAAGAAUUGUAACUUGUUGUGCAAAUGGUUUCACUUAACAGAAAUAUGGAUGAAAUAUAUGAAAAACUAAAGGUAGGGGGCAAAUCGGCUAAAAAAAUUAGUUUGAGUUCUUAAUUUUCCAAUAGAAAAGUUUGAGAGAAAAAUCAAAAGCUAAGUAAAAGUUUAGAAAGUAAAUCGAUAGUUUACUUAAAAAAAAAGAAAAAAAAAAAGAAAAAAGAAAGAGAUCGCAUGUGCGCGCGCGUUACACAACUCAAUCGAGUAAUUCCACAACAGCCUACAGCUCGCCACGUCACGCGUCUCGCUUUAAAAUCACAAAAGGAAAGAGAUGGGAAAUUUGGGAGGGAAACCGAAAAGGAAAAUGGCGGUAAGGCGGCAAAGGAGCGUUUCUUUCUCCACUCCCCUUUGUAUCUGCGACUGAAGAGAGAGAGAGAGAGAGAGAGCGCUCUUCAGUCUUCGAAUCCACGAUCCAUCUCUUCGCGUCUCGCAAGCAUAUAAAAAUCCGCAGCGUUAGCGAGAGCGCUGUUCAGUCUCCGAAUCUACGAUCUACAUCUCGCGGCUUGCGAGCAGAUUCAAAUCCGAUGGUACGCUUCGAUUCGACUUAUCGUAGUUGAUUUUCUUUCUCUGUAAUUGCAUUCGGUUUCAUUUUUUUGCAUCUGCAUCUUUUUCGAUUUGAAAUUUGCUUGCUCAUGUUCGAUUGUAUCGAUUUCCAAUAUGUCACCGUUAAUUGAUCCGUAGAAGAAUCAGAACUUGAGUCCGGUAGUAAUACUUAGCAUGUUUGUCUGUAUAAUCUCGAGGCAAAAAAAAAAAGAAAAGAAAAAAAAAAAGAAAAUCAUAUAUCUGAAACUUCUCCAUUUUAAAAUUUGAGGAAUUUUCAAUUUAGGAGAAAUUUUUAAGCAUCAGAAGUUUAGGAAAUGUUUCAUAGAUCUGGAACUUCUCGAAUUUAACAUUUGAUGCAUUUUUUAAGCGGAUAUAAGUUUUAAAGUAUCAGGAAGUUAGACAAUUGUUUAAUGAUUGGUGGUGAAAUAGAGAACAACAAGGUUGGGAGGGAUUUGAAUGAGGUUUUUGUUGUCGCGAAAAUUGAGGAAUGAAUUUGACAGAAGAAGAAAACUGUUUGGAUGAAGAAGGGGGAAUGAGAGGACAAAAUUAAGAUUAAAAUUUGAAGAGCCAGUAGUGUUCAGAGAAGAAAUCAUCUGGAGACAAAAGGCUAAAGAAUGAGGGUUUGGGAGGAAUGUGAGUAUUAGUAAACUCUUCCCCAAAUUGUUUAGGUUUUGGCUUCUGUAGAAAUCUAAAUGAUGUUCGUAGAGCUAUUUACUCGGUCGCACAUUUCUGGAACACUUCUAACAGAGGGAUAGAUAGAGAAGAACAAGGUGGGAGGGAUUUGAAUGAGGUUUUUGACGCCACAAAAAUGGAGUAGAAGGAGAAUUGAGGAACGAAUUUGAUAGAAGAAGAAAACUAUUUGAAUCAAGAAGGGAGAGUGAGAGGACAAAAUUAGGAUUAAAAUUUGAAGAGCUAGUAGUGUUAAGAGAAGAAAUCGUUUGGAGACAAAAGGCUAAAGAAUGAGGUUUUGGGAUGAAUGUGAGUAAACUCUUCCCCAAAUUGCUUAGGCUUUGGCUUCUGGAGGAAUCUAAUUGACUUGUGAGUGCCGGAGCUUUAUGUGAGGAUGCCAAGUAUUGUCCUAAAUCGGAAAGUUAAGAAAUUGUGCAAGGGCUUAUAAGGAGUUUAAUCUCCCGAUGUUAAUUGGUUUUAUGAUUGGAACCUCAACUUCCUUCACUUUCAUCAUUAGGAAAUGUAAUUUUGAUUACACCUGGUUUCUAUAGAAGGUGCUCUAGUCCUUCAGGCUUUUCUUUCUUGUAGCAAAUAUUUAGGAGGGUUUUUAGUUGACUACCGAUCUAUAUCUCUUUUUUCGAUCCAUUUUUAUUUGGUUUGGAAGGCUAAAGCUCCUCCCAGGGUUCGGUUUCGCUUUCUUUCAUAAAGUAUUGCUCUGGUUGGGUUGAUAUUUGUGAUUCCCUCGAGAGAACAGGGCCCAAUGUUUGUCUUUCUUGCCAUUGGUGCAUGAUAUGUAGGAGUGAAACUGAAAAUGCAGAUCACUUUUAUUCUUUAUUGUCCUAUUGAGGAGUGUAGUAUUGGUCAUGUUUUGGGUACUGUGAUUAGAAAGAAGUAGAAGGAUUUCUGCUGGAUAUGGGGGAGGGGUUGGACGUUCUGGAAGGUAAAAUCAGAUUUAUGUCUCCUGUCCCUACCUAAUUUCCAUCUUUUGCUCAUUAUUUUGAUUUUUUAGGGGGGGUGGGGGGGGGGUUGUGGGGGCGCGCGGGGUGAUCUUUGGAUACUAAGCUCACAACCUUGAACUAAAUUUGCUCAAGAAACUAGCUAGUGUAUAAAGCCGCAUGGUAUCCUGGCCGUUUUUACACAAAUGGCUAAAUGCCCUCUCAGUUGAGCAAACAACUAAACUAGAACUCGACUCUUUACUACACGAGCCAAUUUACAAGUUUUGAAUGCUUUGCCACUCAAUGUGGGGUAUGUGCAGCUCUAUAGACUUGCUUUGAAAUUUCUAGGUGGCUCAAUGUGGGCCAUCUGCAGCUCUAUAGACUUGCUUUGAGACUUCUGGGUGGCUACUCUUCUCUCUUAUCUUUUGUUCUGGCCAA